rnacentral:rRNA from 1 species
GACGAACGCUGGCGGCGUGCUUAACACAUGCAAGUCGAACGAAGUGGCGAACGGGUGAGUAACGCGUAAUCAACCUGCCCUUCAGAGGGGGACACCAGUUGGAAACGACUGCUAAUACCGCAUACUGAAGGAGGGGAUGGCGUUUGAUUGGCUAGUUGGGUGGGUAACGGCCCACCAAGGGGAUGAUCAGUAGCCGGUCUGGGAGGGUGAACGGCCCAGUGGGGGCUGAGACACGGCCCAGACUCCUACGGGAAGCAGCCGUGGGGGAUCUUCCGGAAUGGACGAAAGUCUGUCGGAGCAACACCGCGUGAGUGGUGACGGCCUGCGGGUUGUAAAGCUCUGUUAAUCGGGACGCGGUACCGGAAUAGAAAGCCACGGCUAACUACGUGCCAGCAGCCGCGGUAAUAC